CGCGUCGGCUGGACCGUCGCUCCAAUAGGGCCUCGGCCUCUGGCGGAGAGGAAAGUCCGGACACCGAAGGGCACCCCGCUCCAUGAAAAUGGAGGCGCCAGAGGCGUAGGCCUCCGGUGACGGCAUGUGCAGCAGAAAACAGACCAGCCGAUGGCCUUCGGGCACAGGUGAUGGGUGAAACGGUGGGGUAAGAGCCCACCAGCGCGUUCGGGCGACCGGCGCGGCUGGGUAAACCCCGGGGGGUGCAAGGCCACGCAGCGUUCCCUCUCUCGCGAGAGGCCAGGCGGCCCGCCUGGAGCGACGCGGGUAGGCCGCGCAGAUAGAUGACGGUCCACCGCUAGGGCGCGCCUCUGGCGGGGACAGAAUCCGGCUUACAGGCCGACGCGCACG
rnacentral:RNase_P_RNA from 1 species